UCCGACGGCGGCCGCCAGCCACGCUCCAUCUACACCUUCUGCCUCAGCAACCAGCGCAAGGGGAGCGGCCGUCGUGACCUGGGAGGCAGCUGCUUGAAGGUGAGGGGGGUGGCCCCCCUGCGAGUGCCACGGAGAUGAGCCUGGACCCCGGUGGCAUUUGCUCCAAGCAGGACCUGGAGAAGGAAGCCAGAGGCCAGCCAGCGGUUGACCAGGGGAGAAGACCCCAGGAGCCGAUCCUACCCCUCGAUAGUACAGGGACCAGAGGACAAUGGCUUGGGCCCGUGACCCUUUGGACAGGCCCCCUGGGACCUCUCUACCCCACCGUGGAGAGCUGUGAAGACCCAUCCAGCUGGCCCCAGUCCUGGCUGGUCAGAGACAAGGCAGAACUUUUGGAAAAACAGAUUGUUGGUGACAGAGGGUGUGUGCAUGAGUGAGUGAGUAUGUAAAUGUGUGUGUGUGAGAGAGAGCGAGAGAAUUGGUGGGUUUAAAUAAAAGGUAUUUUUAAAUAAAGGAUGUUCCCAAGUGAGGAAGGGAAGGGUCUGGGGACAUCGGCGGUCAGAGGUGACCCUUCUCCUGGACCUUGGCAGAGGCACCGAUGUCACCAGGACUGCCCUGUGCCCUGGAGGGAUGUGCUGGGAGAAUGCAGGAAGACCCCAGAAGUCGGGAUAACUAAACUUUCCUCAGAGUCUUCUUGAAUACCUGUUGUGGUUGGUAAAGAAACCUUACUUGUAUUCAUUUUUGAAUAAGGAAUAUAUUCAUUCAUAUGGUUCAAAAUUCAAAAGGUACAAGAGGGUAUAUAGUGAAUACAAAGAUUGUCAGUGCCAAAGGUAUCUCCAGCAGAUACCUAUCCACCUACCACUUCUCUCUGCAGCCUCAGCCACCAGUUAUGAUACCCAUUUCCCGUGAAUAACCAAGCAAAUACAGGGAAAAAAUACCUUUUUUCUUCCACUCUUUAUACAAACAGUAGCAUGUUACACAUGCUUUCUGCUCCUUGCUUUUUUGUUUUGUCUUCAUCUAACUUGGCUGUCAUCUCAAAUCAGAUCACAGAGGUAAAGGGUGCCCUUAUUCCUUUAGUGACUGCUUAUUGCACUUUAUGAAUGUACGAUGCAGGCAUACCUCGGUGAUAUUGCACAUUCGGUUCCAGACCACCACAAUAAAGCAAGUAUCGCGAUAAA